GAUGAACGCUAGCGGCAGGCUUAACACAUGCAAGUCGAGGGGUAACAGGAUAGCUUGCUAUUGCUGACGACCGGCGCACGGGUGCGUAACGCGUAUACAAUCUACCUUAUACUGGGGUAUAGCCUUUAGAAAUGAAGAUUAACCCCCCAUAGUCUCUUAGAGUGGCAUCACUUUUGGAGUAAAGGUUACGGUAUAAGAUGAGUAUGCGUUCUAUUAGUUUGUUGGUGUGGUAACGGCACACCAAGACUGCGAUAGAUAGGGGCCCUGAGAGGGGGAUCCCCCACACUGGUACUGAGACACGGACCAGACUCCUACGGGAGGCAGCAGUGAGGAAUAUUGGACAAUGGAGGCAACUCUGAUCCAGCCAUGCCGCGUGCAGGAAGACUGCCUAUGGGUUGUAAACUGCUUUUAUACAGGAAGAAACACCUCUACGUGUAGAGGCCUGACGGUACUGUAAGAAUAAGGAUCGGCUAACUCCGUGCCAGCAGCCGCGGUAAUACGGAGGAUCCAAGCGUUAUCCGGAAUCAUUGGGUUUAAAGGGUCCGUAGGUGGAUAAUUAAGUCAGAGGUGAAAUCUUGCAGCUCAACUGUAAAAUUGCCUUUGAAACUGGUUGUCUUGAGUUAUUAUGAAGUAGUUAGAAUAUGUAGUGUAGCGGUGAAAUGCAUAGAUAUUACAUAGAAUACCAAUUGCGAAGGCAGAUUACUAAUAAUCAACUGACACUGAUGGACGAAAGCGUGGGUAGCGAACAGGAUUAGAUACCCUGGUAGUCCACGCCGUAAACGAUGGUUACUAGCUGUUUGGACUUCGGUCUGAGUGGCUAAGCGAAAGUGAUAAGUAACCCACCUGGGGAGUACGUUCGCAAGAAUGAAACUCAAAGGAAUUGACGGGGGCCCGCACAAGCGGUGGAGCAUGUGGUUUAAUUCGAUGAUACGCGAGGAACCUUACCAGGGCUUAAAUGUAAGUUGCAUUAGUUAGAGAUAGCUAUUUCUUCGGACCACUUACAAGGUGCUGCAUGGUUGUCGUCAGCUCGUGCCGUGAGGUGUCAGGUUAAGUCCUAUAACGAGCGCAACCCCUGUUGUUAGUUGCCAGCGAGUCAAGUCGGGAACUCUAGCAAGACUGCCAGUGCAAACUGUGAGGAAGGUGGGGAUGACGUCAAAUCAUCACGGCCCUUACGUCCUGGGCUACACACGUGCUACAAUGGUAGGUACAGAGAGCAGCCACUGCGCGAGCAGGAGCGAAUCUAUAAAACCUAUCACAGUUCGGAUCGGAGUCUGCAACUCGACUCCGUGAAGCUGGAAUCGCUAGUAAUCGGAUAUCAGCCAUGAUCCGGUGAAUACGUUCCCGGGCCUUGUACACACCGCCCGUCAAGCCAUGGAAGUUGGAAGUGCCUGAAGUCCGUCACCGCAAGGAGCGGCCUAGGGUAAAGUCGAUAACUAGGGCUAAGUCGUAACAAGGUAGCCGUACCGGAAGGUGCGGCUGGAACACCUCCUUUCU
rnacentral:rRNA from 1 species